rnacentral:rRNA from 1 species
AACGAACGCUGGCGGCAGGCUUAACACAUGCAAGUCGAGCGCCCCGCAAGGGGAGCGGCAGACGGGUGAGUAACGCGUGGGAACGUACCUUUUGGUUCGGAACAACUCUGGGAAACUGGAGCUAAUACCGGAUAAGCCCUAACGGGGAAAGAUUUAUCGCCGAAAGAUCGGCCCGCGUCUGAUUAGCUAGUUGGUGAGGUAACGGCUCACCAAGGCGACGAUCAGUAGCUGGUCUGAGAGGAUGAUCAGCCACACUGGGACUGAGACACGGCCCAGACUCCUACGGGAGGCAGCAGUGGGGAAUAUUGGACAAUGGGCGCAAGCCUGAUCCAGCCAUGCCGCGUGAGUGAUGAAGGCCUUAGGGUUGUAAAGCUCUUUUGUCCGGGAAGAUAAUGACUGUACCGGAAGAAUAAGCCCCGGCUAACUUCGU